rnacentral:rRNA from 1 species
CAUCAUGGCAGUGGAAACUGAAAGGCUUGAGUAUGGUAGGGGCAGAGGGAAUUCCCGGUGUAGCGGUGAAAUGCGUAGAUAUCGGGAAGAACACCAGUGGCGAAGGCGCUCUGCUGGGCCAUUACUGACGCUCAUGGACGAAAGCCAGGGGAGCGAAAGGGAUUAGAUACCCCUGUAGUCCUGGCCGUAAACGAUGAACACUAGGUGUCGGGGGAAUCGACCCCUUCGGUGUCGUAGCUAACGCGUUAAGUGUUCCGCCUGGGGAGUACGCACGCAAGUGUGAAACUCAAAGGAAUUGACGGGGGCCCGCACAAGCGGUGGAGUAUGUGGUUUAAUUCGAUGCAACGCGAAGAACCUUACCAGGGUUUGACAUCCUGCGAACCUCUUAGAAAUUUGAGGGUGCCUUCGGGAAUGCAGUGACAGGUGGUGCAUGGCUGUCGUCAGCUCGUGUCGUGAGAUGUUGGGUUAAGUCCCGCAACGAGCGCAACCCACGUUUUUAGUUGCCAGCAUUUAGUUGGGCACUCUAGAAAGACCGCCGGUGAUAAACCGGAGGAAGGUGUGGAUGACGUCAAGUCAUCAUGCCCCUUACACCCUGGGCUACACACGUACUACAAUGCUACGGACAAAGGGCAGCAAACUCGCGAGAGCUAGCAAAUCCCAUAAACCGUGGCUCAGUUCAGAUCGUAGGCUGCAACUCGCCUACGUGAAGUAGGAAUCGCUAGUAAUCGCAGGUCAGCAUACUGCGGUGAAUACGUUCCCGGGCCUUGUACACACCGCCCGUCACACCAUGGAAGUUGGCCAUGCCCGAAGUCGUUACUCCAACCCUUGUGGAGGAGGACGCCGAAGGUGGGGCUAAUGACUGGGGUGAAGUCGUAACAAGGUAGCCG